UUAUUUCAGUAAUUUGAAGUGAUUUUGGUUUCAAUUUGUAGGCGAAUGAGGGAGAAUCGUCGAUUUCGUACGAGAGAUUUCUGCAGGUUUUCAAGUUUGUGCAGAGCGAAAAUCAAGCCUUUCGCCGAGGAAGAUUUGAGGAGACCAAUCAAAUUAAUGGAAGUUUAACUCAUCAUGAUCAGCUAAGUCCAUGCACUUCAAACAUGGUGGCUUCAGAUCAAGCACUUAAUUCAGGUCAAAUGGAGCAUCUACUCCAUCUGAGCCACAAAUUCCAUCAGAGCUCAUUGCACAUUGCGUUGCCACACUGCUAAUGAUUCAAAUUCUAAUCGACAAGCCAAUUGGAAUUAUGCGGUAUCCUGGAGUUGCUAAGGGUCUAUAUGUUGCUCUAC